GACGAACGCUGGCGGCGUGCCUAAUACAUGCAAGUCGAGCGCAGGAAGCUGACGGAACUCUUCGGAGGGAAGGCAGUGGAUGAGCGGCGGACGGGUGAGUAACACGUAAGGAACCUGCCUCAAGGAUUGGGAUAACUCCGAGAAAUCGGAGCUAAUACCGGAUAGUUCAACGGACCGCAUGGUCCGCUGAUGAAAGGCGCUCCGGCGUCACCUUGAGAUGGCCUUGCGGUGCAUUAGCUAGUUGGUGGGGUAACGGCCCACCAAGGCGACGAUGCAUAGCCGACCUGAGAGGGUGAUCGGCCACACUGGGACUGAGACACGGCCCAGACUCCUACGGGAGGCAGCAGUAGGGAAUCUUCCACAAUGGACGAAAGUCUGAUGGAGCAACGCCGCGUGAGUGAUGAAGGUUUUCGGAUCGUAAAACUCUGUUGUAAGGGAAGAACACGUACGAGAGGGAAUGCUCGUACCUUGACGGUACCUUACGAGAAAGCCACGGCUAACUACGUGCCAGCCGCCGCCGUAA
rnacentral:rRNA from 1 species